rnacentral:rRNA from 1 species
UACGUAGGGUGCGAGCGUUGUCCGGAAUUAUUGGGCGUAAAGAGCUCGUAGCGGUUUGUCGCGUCGGCCGUGAAAACUUGGGGCUUAACCCCAAGCCUGCGGUCGAUACGGGCAGACUUGAGUUCGGCAGGGGAGACUGGAAUUCCUGGUGUAGCGGUGAAAUGCGCAGAUAUCAGGAGGAACACCCGUGGCGAAAGCGGCUCUCUGGGACGGUACUGACGCUGAGACGCGAAAAGCGUGGGGAGCAAACAGG